rnacentral:rRNA from 1 species
UACGGGGGGGGCAAGCGUUGUUCGGAAUUACUGGGCGUAAAGGGCUCGUAGGCGGCCAACUAAGUCAUACGUGAAAUCCCUCGGCUUAACCGGGGAACUGCGUCUGAUACUGGAUGGCUUGAGUUCGGGAGAGGGAUGCGGAAUUCCAGGUGUAGCGGUGAAAUGCGUAGAUAUCUGGAGGAACACCGGUGGCGAAGGCGGCAUCCUGGACCGAUACUGACGUUCAGGCACGAAAGCGUGGGAGCAACAGGGAUUAAGAAACCCU